rnacentral:rRNA from 1 species
GACGAACGCUGGCGGCGUGCCUAAUACAUGCAAGUUGAGCGAUGAAGAUUGGUGCUUGCACCUAUUUGAAGAGCAGCGAACGGGUGAGUAACGCGUGGGGAAUCUGCCUUUGAGCGGGGGACAACAUUUGGAAACGAAUGCUAAUACCGCAUAACAACUUUAAACAUAAGUUUUAAGUUUGAAAGAUGCAAUUGCAUUACUCAAUGAUGAUCUCGCGUUGUAUUAGCUAGUUGGUGAGGUAAAGGCUCACCAAGGCGAGGAUACAUAGCCGACCUGAGAGGGUGGUCGGCCACAUUGGGAAUGAGACACGGCCCAAACUCCUACGGGAGGCGGAAGUAGGGAAUAUUCGGCGAUGGGCGAAAGUCUGACCGAGAGCCGCCGCGUGAGUGAGGAGGAUUUCCGGAUCGUGAAACACUGUUGGUAGAGAGGAGCGUUGGUGAGAAUGGAAAGAUGAUCGAGUGACGGUAACUGAACCAGAAAGGAAGGCUAACUACGUG